rnacentral:tRNA from 1 species
GGAGGGGUGGCUGAGUGGUUGAAAGCGGCGGUCUUGAAAACCGUUGUGGGGAAACUCACCGGGAGUUCGAAUCUCUCCCCCUCCG